rnacentral:lncRNA from 1 species
CAUGUAUCUAAUAGAAAUAGUGCUAAAAUAAGUUAUCAUGUUGAAUGUGGUGUUGAUGAAUGAAAUGCCAUCAAAACAUAGAAUCAAAUUCAUUUGAAAAAUAUUUAUUUCCAGUAUCAAAACCAUCUACUGUAACUCAUACGUGUUUUAAAAAAGAUGAAUACAAAUUACAAUAUUAAAGGGAAACUUUAUCUUUAGCCCUUUAUCUACUUCUCCAGAAUCAGAUGAAAUCAAGGAUACCAUUUUAUGUCUCUGUGUGUACAGUAUGAAGGAAGUUAGAGGUUUCCCCAGCCAAUAACAACUAGUGUUAGCACAAUUAAUGGAAGUUUGUGGGUAUCUGCUAGUAUGCUAUCAGAUACUCAUAUUCUUUCAGUCACUGCGCUAAAGCUAGUUAGCAAUUGCGCUAGCACUAGUUAGCAACUUCCUUCAAAUCACGCGCAGAGACAAGUUCAUAUGAAUUUGGGGAGGUAGAUAAAGGGCCUCAUCGCCAAAAUCCCAAAGUAUCCCUUUAACAAUAACAUGUAUAAAUAAUAAUGUACAACCGUAACAAACAUGGCUGGGAUAAAACAAUUAACAAAACACACUGCCAAAAGGUGUAAAGGCACACACAAACAUGCUUUCCACCUGGCUACCCCUACCCCGGUCAACUGCCCGGCACCCUCCACAGCAACCCGCCAAAGCCCCCAACAUUUCUCCUUCACCCAAAUCCAGAUAGCUGAUGUUCUGAAAGAGCUGCAAAAUCUGGACCCCUACAAAUCAGCCGGGCUAGACAAUCUGGACCCUCUCUUUCUAAAAUGAUCUGCCGAAAUUGUUGCAACCCCUAUUAUUAGCCUGUUCAACCUCUCUUUCGUAUCGUCUGAGAUUCCCAAAGAUUGGAAAGCUGCCGCGGUCAUCCCCCUCUUCAAAGGGGGUGACACUCUAGACCCAAACAGUUUUUUGGAAAUAGCCUAUGGCCUAUUUAUUGCCUUACCUCCCUUAACUUACCUCAUUUGCACACACUGUAUAUAGACUUUUUUUCUAUUGUGUUUCUAUUGUGUUUUUCUCUGUUGUUGUUGUAUGUGUCGAAUUGCUAUGCUUUAUCUUGGCCAGGUUGCAGUUGCAAAUGAGAACUUGUUCUCAACUAGCCUACCUGGUUAAAUAAAUGUGAAAUACAUUUUUUUUAUGAACACAUAUUUACACAAAAAUACAUACAAAACUGCAGACUACAUCGGGUUGGUUUAAAGGAAUUCAGUUUCUCUUUGGGUGUGGUUCUCUUUCAAUGUUAAGUUACAUGGAAUCUUUAGUCACUGUGGUUCGCUCAUCACCAUUAAAUAUCGUCCUCAAACCUUCGUAAUACAGAGGCACCAUAGUGACUCAGAAUACAUGUAUAUACACAGCUGGAUCAGACAGUCUCUCAUGGCAAAUGGACUUCUCUCCCUUUCAUCACUCCCUCCCUCUCUUCUCUCUCUUCCUCACUCAGACAAAGUCCUUUCCAGUGGAUGUUGCUGAGGUCUCGGAGCGAGGAGCCUUGUUGUACCUGGCAGUGUAGGAACCCUCAUCCUUCUUGGGGCAGUUGCAGCAGAGCAAACCCCCUCCAAUCAGCAGCAGGGCAGUGGCCCCCCAGCCCACGUAGAGCGCCCCCCCCAGCUCCCUCUUCUGAGCGCUUACCAGGAGCGGGUUGUAGAAGUCCUGGAUGAUGCUGUGGGCCGUCCAGCAGACAGGGAUCAGGCACAGAACUCCGGCAAUGAUGAACACCACCCCGGAUGCCACACCCACUUUAGCCUUGGCCGCCUCGUUAUCCACACAGUUGGUGCACUUGCCCCCGGCUACGGCUAGCAGAAUGGCAAUAAUGCCGGCGAGGAUGGCAAUGAUGGUCUGCGAGGUGACUAUGUUACUGCCGAUGAAGGCGGUGACCCUCCACAUGGGCAUGGCACAAACAAUGAUGGUCCCAAUCCAGCCUAUGAUCCCCAGGGCAGUGCCCAGCAUCUGUAGCCCAGCCGACACCAUCUUAGAUCCGAUUGGCGUUGGUUUGUCUGUGGGUCUGAGUGAUACUGGACAGCCUUUUGUCUUCCUUUCUGUGUGUUGUAGAGGUUCUUUGUCUUCUCUCAGUCUAAUCUGAAUACAGUGGGUGGUUGUGUUUCUGUGUGUGCUGCUCUAGGUCUGAGUCCCAAGUGGGGAAGGACUUCCUGGAGAACAGGUUCUUCUGACCUCCCCCUCCGGGAGGGAGGGAGGGAGAGAGGGGAAGGGCCGGG